rnacentral:tRNA from 1 species
CGGGGUGUAGCGCAGCCUGGUAGCGCACUUGCUUCGGGAGCAAGGAGUCGCUGGUUCAAAUCCAGUCACCCCGACCG